UGAAGCUGGAGUUGCUAGUAAUCGCGAAUCAGCAUGUCGCGGUGAAUACGUUCCCGGGCCUUGUACACACCGCCCGUCACACCAUGAGAGUUGGCAAUACCCAACGUACGUGAUCUAACCCGCAAGGGAGGAAGCGUCCUAAGGUAGGGUCAGCGAUUGGGUGAAGUCGUAACAAGGUAUC
rnacentral:rRNA from 1 species